CGCGGCCUAUCAGCUUGUUGGUGGGGUAACGGCCCACCAAGGCUCCGACGGGUAGCCGGCCUGAGAGGGCGACCGGCCACACUGGGACUGAGGCACGGCCCAGACUCCUACGGGAGGCAGCAGUGGGGAAUAUUGCACAAUGGGCGAAAGCCUGAUGCAGCGACGCCGCGUGAGGGAUGACUGCCUUCGGGUUGUAAACCUCUUUCAGCUCCGACGAAGCGAAAGUGACGGUAGGAGCAGAAGAAGCACCGGCCAACUACGUGCCAGCAGCCGCGGUAAUACGUAGGGUGCAAGCGUUGUCCGGAAUUAUUGGGCGUAAAGAGCUCGUAGGCGGCUUGUCGCGUCGGCUGUGAAAACCUGGGGCUCAACCCCGGGCCUGCAGCCGAUACGGGCAAGCUAGAAUUCGGUAGGGGAGACUGGAAUUCCUGGUGUAGCGGUGAAAUGCGCAGAUAUCAGGAGGAACACCGGUGGCGAAGGCGGGUCUCUGGGCCGAUAUUGACGCUGAGGAGCGAAAGCGUGGGGAGCGAACAGGAUUAGAUACCCUGGUAGUCCACGCCGUAAACGUUGGGCGCUAGGUGUGGGUCACAUUCCACGUGGUCUGUGCCGCAGCUAACGCAUUAAGCGCCCCGCC
rnacentral:rRNA from 1 species